rnacentral:rRNA from 1 species
UACGUAGGGGGCAAGCGUUGUCCGGAUUUACUGGGCGUAAAGCGCGCGUAGGCGGAAGGUGAAGCGUGGCCUGAAAGCCCCCGGCUCAACCGGGGAGGGCGGCUGCGAACUGGCCUUCUUGAGGGCGAUAGAGGGGGGCGGAAUUCCUGGUGUAGCGGUGAAAUGCGUAGAUAUUGGGAGGAACACCAGUGGCGAAGGCGGCUCACUGGACCGGUACUGACGCUGAGACGCGAAAGCGUGGGGAGCAAACAGG